rnacentral:rRNA from 11 species
UUAAAUUGAAGAGUUUGAUCAUGGCUCAGAUUGAACGCUGGCGGCAGGCCUAACACAUGCAAGUCGAACGGUAACAGGAAGCAGCUUGCUGCUUCGCUGACGAGUGGCG